AUAUCCCAAAUUGCCCAUGCUGACUUUUUAAUGAGGAAACAGCUAUGUGCUCACACCUUGGGACUUUGGAUGUCGCCAAUUGAAUCAGCAUAACAGAUUGAAGUGGGAUGGAUGGAAGGGAGAAACCUGUGCAGGCAGAUUGGAGACAGAAAACACAAACACGGGGAGAAAAUGGGUGAAGUUGUUCAGUUGCUGGUUCCCACUUCAUUUAUAUGUACUUGCACUGGGAGAGCUUAUCUCUGGAAGCCCUGUGCUAGGGUUAAAAGACCAGUUAGAAGGCUAUUCCUUCCUGCAGAGGAAUGAAAAAAGCAGGUUCGUGGCUUUGUUGUGCUCAGGAACACACAGGAGUUGCCCAGGGUGCGUCCAGUUUGACUGUACCGC
rnacentral:lncRNA from 1 species